UUGUUCUGAUUCCCCAGCCGCCCUUGCAGAUUGGGCAUCAGCUCCUUGCCAACAUCGAGGCGACGAGCCAGGCUAGGAGGGAUGCCAUCCAGGCGGAGAAGCAUCGUCGGGCCGAAGUCGCUCGCCUCAAAGAAAAGGCCGCUGAAGUAGUUGUCCUCCAAGAGGCCCUGGAGAAAGAAAAGUAGACCCGGGAAAAAGAAAAGC
rnacentral:lncRNA from 1 species